rnacentral:rRNA from 1 species
GGACGAACGCUGGCGGCGUGGAUUAGGCAUGCAAGUCGGACGGUAGGGCUUUAUCGUAAGAUAGAGUUUGAGAGUGGCGAACGGGUGAGUAACACGUAGGAAUCUACCCUUAAGACGGGGACAACCCAGGGAAACUUGGGCUAAUACCGGAUGAGAGUGCGAGAGAUUGCAUUUAAAAGGAUGGCGAAAGUUGUCGCUUAGGGAUGAGCCUGCGGUCUAUUAGUUAGUUGGUGAGGUAAGAGCUCACCAAGGCGAUGAUAGAUAGGCGGCCUUAACGGGUGGUCGCCCACACUGGGAUUGAGAUACGGCCCAGACUCCUACGGGAGGCAGCAGUCGAGAAUAGUCUACAAUGGCCGGAAGGCUGAUAGUGCGACGCCGCGUGAACGAGGGAGCCCUUCGGGGUGUAAAGUUCUUUUCUAUACGAGCAGUGCUAUAUAUAUGGAUAGUAUAUAUAGAGGGAUAGUAGUAUAGGAAUAAGCAACGGCUAACUCCGUGCCAGCAGCCGCGGUAACACGGGGGUUGCGAGCGUUGUCCGGAAUUACUAGGCGUAAAGGGCAGGUAGGCGGAUCUACGAGUUUUUUGUUAAAGGCUACGGCUCAACUGUAGUGGAGCAGGAGAUACUGUAGGUCUGGAAUGCGGUAGGGGAAGACAGAAUUCCUGGUGUAGCGGUGGAAUGCGCAGAGAUCAGGAGGAAUACCGAAGGCGAAGGCAGUCUUCUAGGCCGUAAUUGACGCUUAACUGCGAAGGUGUGGGGAUCAAACAGGAUUAGAUACCCUGGUAGUCCACACAGUAAACGAUAAUCACUAGAUGUCGGGUUCUAGAUGGAUUCGGUGUCGGAGCAAACGCGAUAAGUGAUUCGCCUGGGGAGUACGAUCGCAAGGUUGAAACUCAAAGGAAUUGACGGGGGCCCGCACAAGCGGUGGAGCAUGUGGUUUAAUUCGAGGCAACGCGAAGAACCUUACCCGGUUUUGACAUCCACGGGAGGCUUCAGAGAUGGAGCUGUGCCGGCAUAAGCUGGAGCCGUGAGACAGGUGCUGCAUGGCUGUCGUCAGCUCGUGUCGUGAGAUGUUGGGUUAAGUCCCGCAACGAGCGCAACCCUCAUUCGAUGUUGCCGGCGUAAAGUUGGGAACUCUUCGAAAACUGCCCGUGUAAGCGGGAGGAAGGUGGGGAUGACGUCAAGUCAGCAUGGCCCUUACGCCUGGGGCUACACACAUGCUACAAUGGACGCUAACAAAGGGCAGCAAUACCGCGAGGUGGAGCGAAUCUCACAAAUGCGUCCUCAGUUCGGAUUGUAGUCUGCAACUCGACUACAUGAAGUCGGAAUCGCUAGUAACCGCAGGUCAGCUAAACUGCGGUGAAUACGUUCCCGGGCCU